rnacentral:rRNA from 1 species
GAUCCUGGCUCAGGACGAACGCUGGCGGCAUGCCUAACACAUGCAAGUCGAACGGGGUUGGAAACAACCCAGUGGCGGACGGGUGCGUAACACGUGAGCAACCUGCCCUUUACAACGGGAUAACACAGAGAAAUUUGUGCUAAUACGGUAUGAGACCACAGCGCGGCAUCGCGGAGUGGUUAAAGUUCGAGGACGGUAAAGGGAGGGGCUCGGCCGGCCUAUUAGAUAGUUGGUGAGGUACGCUCACAGUCGA